rnacentral:rRNA from 1 species
AUACGGAGGAUGCGAGCGUUAUCCGGAUUUAUUGGGUUUAAAGGGAGCGUAGGUGGGAUAUUAAGUCAGCUGUGAAAGUUUGGGGCUCAACCUUAAAAUUGCAGUUGAUACUGGUUUCCUUGAGUACGGUACAGGUGGGCGGAAUUCGUGGUGUAGCGGUGAAAUGCUUAGAUAUCACGAAGAACUCCGAUCGCGAAGGCAGCUCACCGGGCCGGAACUGACACUGAUGCUCGAAAGUGCGGGUAUCAAACAGGAUUAGAUACCCUGGUAGUCCGCACAGUAAACGAUGAAUACUCGCUGUUUGCGAUACACAGUAAGCGGCCAAGCGAAAGCGUUAAGUAUUCCACCUGGGGAGUACGCCGGCAACGGUGAAACUUAAAGGAAUUGACGGGG